CCUUUUUUCUAAUAAUUUGUCUUAGGGAGGCACUCUCCAAUGAACUAAGGCUACAUGUCUGUUAAUAGUGCUUUUUAAAAAAGCCAUAAAAUUCAAAAGUGACAAAUAGUAAUGAAAAUGAAACUUGAAACUUUGGUGAUUUACUUUAAAUUAAUAGACUACAUGUC
rnacentral:ncRNA from 1 species